rnacentral:rRNA from 1 species
GAUGAACGCUGACAGAAUGCUUAACACAUGCAAGUCUUUGGCGAAGCUGUGCUCGCACAGCCUAGCCAAGGCGGACGGGUGAGUAACGCGUAAGGAACUUGCCCUGCAGUCAGGGAUAACAGACGGAAACGACUGAUAAGACCUGGUAAAGUCAGGCGGACUCAUGUCCAGCCUGAUGAAAAGAGAUGCUGCAGGAGAGCCUUGCGUCCUAUUAGCUUGUUGGUGGGGUAACGGCCCACCAAGGCGAUGAUAGGUAGCCGGCCUGAGAGGGUGGACGGCCACAAGGGGACUGAGAUACGGCCCUUACUCCUACGGGAGGCAGCAGUGAGGAAUAUUGGACAAUGGGGGCAACCCUGAUCCAGCAAUUCUGUGUGAACGAUGAAGGUUUUCGGAUUGUAAAGUGCUUUCAGCAGGGAAGAAAAAAAUGACGGUACCUGCAGAAGAAGCGACGGCUAAAUACGUG